GGCCUAACACAUGCAAGUCGAGCGGAAACGACACUAACAAUCCUUCGGGUGCGUUAAUGGGCGUCGAGCGGCGGACGGGUGAGUAAUGCCUAGGAAAUUGCCUUGAUGUGGGGGAUAACCAUUGGAAACGAUGGCUAAUACCGCAUAAUGCCUACGGGCCAAAGAGGGGGACCUUCGGGCCUCUCGCGUCAAGAUAUGCCUAGGUGGGAUUAGCUAGUUGGUGAGGUAAUGGCUCACCAAGGCGACGAUCCCUAGCUGGUCUGAGAGGAUGAUCAGCCACACUGGAACUGAGACACGGUCCAGACUCCUACGGGAGGCAGCAGUGGGGAAUAUUGCACAAUGGGCGAAAGCCUGAUGCAGCCAUGCCGCGUGUAUGAAGAAGGCCUUCGGGUUGUAAAGUACUUUCAGUUGUGAGGAAGGGGGUAGCGUUAAUAGCGCUAUCUCUUGACGUUAGCAACAGAAGAAGCACCGGCUAACUCCGUGCCAGCAGCCGCGGUAAUACGGAGGGUGCGAGCGUUAAUCGGAAUUACUGGGCGUAAAGCGCAUGCAGGUGGUUCAUUAAGUCAGAUGUGAAAGCCCGGGGCUCAACCUCGGAACUGCAUUUGAAACUGGUGAACUAGAGUACUGUAGAGGGGGGUAGAAUUUCAGGUGUAGCGGUGAAAUGCGUAGAGAUCUGAAGGAAUACCAGUGGCGAAGGCGGCCCCCUGGACAGAUACUGACACUCAGAUGCGAAAGC
rnacentral:rRNA from 1 species